rnacentral:misc_RNA from 1 species
ACAAAGUUCUUUCCUUUUUGUGUGUAAAUCCAAACUGGGUAAUCAAGAAUCCAAAAAAAAAAACUAUGGCUUCUCAAAAUCCAUCUCCUCCUAAAUUAUACCCAGAAGUUAUUGAUUCAAACCCAGAAUCAUCUUCUCCAUUUAUUACAAAUACCCAAAAGAACAAAUCAUCUUCUUCUAUGUACCCAACUAUUGAUAUGAAAGAUCUAGCAGAGAAUCUAUUCCCAGAAACUGAAAACAGUCAGCCUAAUCAAAAUUCCAACUUUGUAUCACUGGAAGAAGUGAUUGUCCAAAUCCCAGGUGCGAUUGUCCAUCUGAUCGACAAAGAACGUAGCAUCGAACUCGCUAGUGGUGAAUUCGAGAUUGUUCAACUAAAACAGGGCGACAACGUUGUUGCUGUUCUUGCACGUGUCGGAGAUCAGAUUCAAUGGCCUUUAGCGAGAGAUGAAGCUGCUGUUAAGCUUGAUGAAUCUCACUAUUUCUUCACUCUUCGUGUACCUUCUGAAGCAAAUGAUGAAGAUGGAUACGCAGAGAAUUUACUCAACUAUGGUUUGACAAUAGCUUCGAAAGGGCAAGAAAGACUGUUGAAGGAGUUAGAUUUAGUAUUGGAGAAGUACAGUGCGUUUAGAGUGGAGAAAGUGAAGAAGGAUAAAGGGGUUGCAGAAAAAUGGUGGAUGGCGCCAAAAGAUGUUUCACCAGAAGAGAUGGAGAAGAAAAAGGAGGAUGUGGAGAGGAGUUCUGCGGCAUACUGGACAACUUUGGCUCCGAAUGUUGAGGAUUAUAGUAGCAGUAUUGCAAGAAUGAUUGCAGCCGGGUCGGGUCAGUUGAUAAAGGGGAUAUUGUGGUGUGGGGAUAUUACUGUGGAUAGGUUGAAGUGGGGGAAUGAUGUGUUGAUGAAGAGGAUGGGAAAAGGAAGUAACUCUGAGAUUAGCCCUGAGGCUAUGAGAAGGAUGAGAAGGGUGAAGAAGAUGACAAAAAUGUCAGAGAAAGUGGCAACUGGUAUACUCUCAGGAGUAGUGAAGGUCUCUGGAUUCUUCACAAGUUCUAUUGCAAACUCAAAAGCUGGUCAGAGAUUCUUUAGCCUUCUUCCGGGAGAAAUUGUUCUUGCUUCCUUGGAUGGAUUCAAUAAGGUUUGUGAUGCCGUUGAAGUGGCCGGAAAGAAUGUGAUGUCAACGACCUCAGUAGUGACAACUGGUCUUGUUCAACAGAGGCAUGGUGACCAGGCGGCACAGAUGACACGUGAAGGAUUCGAUGCUGCAGGGCAUGCUUUAGGGACUGCAUGGGCAGUGUUUAAGAUAAGAAAAGCUCUGAAUCCAAAGGGUGCUAUCAAGCCUACUACAGUUGCAAAAGCUGCUGCUCAAGCUAACCUUGCUAAACUGAAGAGCAAGCAGAAGUAGAUCCGGAUGUUCCACUUGCCAUCAUCUCUUAACUUCCAUUGAUCACUUAGUUUUAUUUAUUGCUUAAUUAGAGAGUUUGUCUUUGCUUUGACAGAAUGUAUGUCAAACUUUGAAUUUACAGGAAUCAUAGUGUAUGUAUUGGCUUUAUUACUCUAGUCAUUUGCUAGUGUGGUUGCUUGAAAAUUAGAAAUGGA